UAUUGCAAGCUGGUACUGAAAGACCCCCGGAGUGGGGAGACCCUCACUCAAGUCUCGGGAUGACGCAACCCCCCAAGAACUCACACAAGACC
rnacentral:pre_miRNA from 14 species